rnacentral:lncRNA from 1 species
AAUGGUUCAUUUGCCCUCCCCAUUUCAUUAGCCUUCCAUUUAAUUAUACCAUCACAAAGAAACCCAAACAUUGUCAAAAUUUUGAUGGGUACAUGUAUUACCGCUGAUCACCCUCCCCAUUUCAUUAGCCUUCCAUUUAAUUAUACCAUCACAAAGAAAACAAAACAUUGUCAAAAUUUUGAUGGGUACAUGUAUUACCGCUGAUCAUUCGGUUCAUACAAUAAUAUAAAAAUUGUAGGCAAGGAGCAAUUAAUUGAUAUUAAAAAAAAAAAUCCUUAAAGAAUCACCAUCACUCCUCAUCGG